rnacentral:rRNA from 1 species
GACGUAGGAAGCAAGCGUUGUCCGGAAUUACUGGGCGUAAAGGGUGCGUAGGCGGUCUUUUAAGUCUGAUGUGAAAUCCUGUGGCUUAACCAUAGAACUGCAUCAGAUACUGGGAGACUGGAGUGCGGAAGAGGUUGACGGAAUUACUAGUGUAGCGGUAGAAUGCGUAGAUAUAUGGAGGAACACCAGUGGCGAAGGCGACGGUCUGGCCUGUAACUGACGCUCAUUCCCGAAAGCGUGGGGAGCAAAUAGG